GUCUAUAGCCAUGCCACCCUGAACAAGCCUGAUGUCUGAUCUCGGAAGCUAAGCAGGGUUGGGCCUGGUUGGUACUUGGAUGGGAGACCACCUAGGAAGACCAGGUGCUGUAGGCA
rnacentral:rRNA from 1 species